GACGUAGGUGGCGAACGUUAUCCGGAAUCACUGGGCGUAAAGGGCGCGUAGGCGGCGCGGGGAGUCAACGGUGAAAGCUCGGCGCUCAACGCCGAGUCGGCCGUCGAUACUCCCGUGCUCGAGCACUGUAGAGGCAGGUGGAAUUCCGGGUGUAGCGGUGGAAUGCGUAGAGAUCCGGAAGAACACCGGUGGCGAAGGCGGCUCGCUGGACCGGUUCUGACGCUGAUGCGCGAAAGCGUGGGGAGCAAACGGG
rnacentral:rRNA from 1 species